UACGUAGGAGGCGAGCGUUGUCCGGAAUUACUGGGCGUAAAGGGCGCGUAGGCGGUUUGCAUAGUCAGACGUGAAAUUCCUGGGCUUAACCUGGGGGCUGCGUUUGAUACGUGCGGACUUGAGUGGGGAAGAGGGUCGUGGAAUUCCCAGUGUAGAGGUGAAAUUCGUAGAUAUUGGGAAGAACACCGGUGGCGAAGGCGGCGACCUGGUCCUUGACUGACGCUGAGGCGCGAAAGCGUGGGGAGCAAACAGG
rnacentral:rRNA from 1 species